rnacentral:rRNA from 1 species
AGAGUUUGAUCAUGGCUCAGAUUGAACGCUGGCGGCGUGCCUAACACAUGCAAGUCGAGCGGUAACAGGUGUAGCAAUACAUGCUGACGAGCGGCGAACGGGUGAGUAAUGCUUUGGAAUCUUCCCAGUAGUGGGGAAUAACCAGUCGAAAGAUUGGCUAAUACCGCAUACGUCCGAAAGGGGAAAGCGGGGGCUCGUAAGACCUCGCGCUAUUGGAUGAGCCAAAGUCGGAUUAGCUAGUUGGUGGGGUAAUGGCCUACCAAGGCGACAAUCCGUAGCUGGUCUGAGAGGACGACCAGCCACACCGGAACUGAGACACGGUCCGGACUCCUACGGGAGGCAGCAGUGGGGAAUAUUGGACAAUGGGGGAAACCCUGAUCCAGCGACGCCGCGUGUGUGAAGAAGGCCUGCGGGUUGUAAAGCACUUUUAGUGGGGACAAAAAGCUACGGACUAAUACUCUGUGGUCUUGAUUUAACCCAAAGAAAAAGCACCGGCUAACUCUGUGCCAGCAGCCGCGGUAAUACAGAGGGUGCGAGCGUUAAUCGGAAUUACUGGGCGUAAAGCGCGCGUAGACGGUUUUGUAAGUCAGAUGUGAAAUCCCUGGGCUCAACCUGGGAACUGCAUUUGAAACUGCAUGGCUAGAGUAUGGAAGAGGGAAGUGGAAUUUCCGGUGUAGCGCUGAAAUGCGUAGAUAUCGGAAGGAACACCAGUGGCGAAAGCGACUUCCUGGUCCAAUACUGACGUUCAUGUGCGAAAGCGUGGGGAGCAAACAGGAUUAGAUACCCUAGUAGUCC